rnacentral:lncRNA from 1 species
UGAAGGAGUGGCGAGUACCUGCCAUUAACCUCUGAAUGUGUUCUCUGCAAAUUAGGCCACUCAGCAAUCCAGUGUCAUGACAGAGUUUAGCAUGCUAAGUUCAUGACCUUUUCACAAACAUGUGGCAUUGAACUAAAAAGGAAAAAAGUGGCUCCAUUUUCCUAUUCAGAUUGGGUGCACUAACAGUACUGUUUAGUAACAGCAGGAAGAAAUCAUGUUCCUGAAAGUUGAUGUUGGUAUAUGCGCUACCUGUUCUAUAGCAUGAGGGGUAAUGUUGUUAUCAAUGUUGGCCAUGAAUUGGGAGGCAUCAUACUGGGGCUAAAGCCCAAUUGGAUUGAGUUGAGUUUGUUAUAAAUUUGGCGCCUUAUUCAUAUUAUCAAAAUCCUUGGCUUGGAUGACCUUAAUUUUUUUUUCUUAAGAUAGUUCAUAAUUUUUUUUUCUUAAGAUGGUUCAAUGAGUUCUUGUGACCAAGGGCAUGGUCAUAUACAUAAAUGGCUAGAUAGACCUUGCCUACUCAACCUUGAGUGGGAUGCUUUGUGAAAAUGCUUCCCCAGUUUUAUUGCAAAGGAUACUGGUUAGGUGCUUGAGGUUAGUCUCUGUAGCAGAGGCUCUAUUCCUGUUGAACAUUUUAGGAAUGUAGAGCCAUUUUAAUAAAGUAAUGCCAUGUCCUAGUUUUAGCUGAGCUUUUCCACUACGUUAUGAUGUCUAGGGAAAUGAACUUGGUAGUCCAUGUUUCUUUCCUUUAUUAUCUUUUUUUUUUUUUGGGGGGGGGGGGGGGGGGGGUGGGAUGUAUAAGCUGAUUUUUUAACAGCUGACUUCUAUUGAUUAUUCACUGCAAGUGCAAUUUCAUGUAAAAAGUUGGCUGUUCAAAAUUAAAGCCUUGAUGAGAUGUUGUGGGACGCCAAAAACUUAAUUGAUUAUGGCUAUUAGUUGAUGAAAUUUUUCAACCAGCAUUUCAUUCUACCUAACAUCUUGAUCUACUUUUUUCAGAUGGGAUGAUGCCUAUGAGGUGCUUGAUGAGAUGGUCACAAAUAAGGUG